GAUGAACGCUGGCGGCGUGCCUAAUACAUGCAAGUAGAACGCUGAAGGAAGGAGCUUGCUCUUUCCGGAUGAGUUGCGAACGGGUGAGUAACGCGUAGGUAACCUGCCUGGUAGCGGGGGAUAACUAUUGGAAACGAUAGCUAAUACCGCAUAACAGUAGAUGUUGCAUGAUAUCUACUUAAAAGGUGCAAUUGCCCCACUACCAGAUGGACCUGCGUUGUAUUAGCUAGUUGGUGAGGUAACGGCUCACCAAGGCGACGAUACAUAGCCGACCUGAGAGGGUGAUCGGCCACACUGGGACUGAGACACGGCCCAGACUCCUACGGGAGGCAGCAGUAGGGAAUCUUCGGCAAUGGACGGAAGUCUGACCGAGCAACGCCGCGUGAGUGAAGAAGGUUGUCGGAUCGUAAAGCUCUGUUGUAAGAGAAGAACGAGUGUGAGAGUGGAAAGUUCACACUGUGACGGUAGCUUACCAGAAAGGGACGGCUAACUACGUG
rnacentral:rRNA from 1 species